GCGUGGACCCUGGACUUGUGCUCCUAUGUCAUUUAUCCCAGCUGUUCCCGGUUUCCCCUUCUGAGCCAGGUAUCUUGGCCUCCUCGGUGGCCACAGCUUUCUGCUAAGCCUCGGUCUUCUUCCCGGCAGGAGAGACCUUUGACCCAUGUGCGUCCUGAUCCGUGGCCAGGAGCGUACCCAGUACGGCGGUGCGCCACUCGAGAGGCCUGACCCAGAUAUCAGUGCUCCAUGGGAAUGCUGCAAAGACCCGGGGCUCUGAAAAGAUGGCCAUGCUAAUUCCUCUGUUGGUGUUUACCCAAGACAUGAAGACCAGAACAGGAAGAGACACUCGUGGGCUAUUCAUAAUCAACCAACUCAAUCCAUGAAUGGCAAAGUUGAUGGUGAUAAUUUUCCCUCAGAAACUGUCCCUCAGAAUGAAAAGUAGCCCAUGAUGAAUGUGGCCUAAGCACAUCUCAGAAGCACAAUGCCAAGGGAAAGAAACUCCUUAAAUGACAUCGUGGGGUUGGCAGGAGAAUAGAAACAGAAAUCAGACCCGCGGUUGUCAGAGAUGGAAACACAGAAUGGGAUUUGUUUGCAAAGCGUCUCAAAGAACUUUGUGGAAAGAACAGCCAUGGUCUAAGCUGUAAUACUGGUCAAAGCUUGUUUCAUGGUACUCAAAGAAGAUGAACUUAAGGAUUUAAAUACUUCUCAGUAAGCUUGAGUUAAAAGGGGUGUGAAGUCCUCAAAUAAUUAAACAUAGACUUGGAUGAUUCAGCCCACUUCUAGGCACAUAACAGAGAGGAUGGAAAGCAGGUCUGUAUGCCAAAUGCGCAUGACACAGUUCUCACGGGCACUAAAAGGUUGGGCCCAGCCCAGAAGGCACCGAUCAACAGGUGCAUGGAUACAGCAAAUGUGACAGGUACUGACUUUUUCAAGUAAUGGGACGAGUUAAGAAGAGAGAUCUGCUAAAAGGCUGCAUCCUCCCAUCUAGCAAGGCCUCCUAGACCUUAGGCUUUGCUGCAAUGGCAAAGAUAAAUGUGAUGAAGACGGGGGCUGGAGAGAUGGUUCAGUGGUUACGAGCACUAGCUGCUCUUCCAUAGGUCCUGAGUUCAAUUCCCAGCAAACACAUGGUGGCUCACAGCCAUCUGUAAUGGAAUCUGAUGCCCUCUUCUGGUGUGUCUGAAGACAGCGAGAGUGUACUCAUACACAAAAUAAACAAAUCUUCAAAAAAAAAAAAUGUGAUGAAGACACAAUACUCUGGGACUAGGUGUGAAUGUCCUUGUCCCAAGCUCCUCCCAUACAAAGGACCACCCUACUUGUCUCUUCAGGUUGCCCCACCUGUCUCCUUUUAGCCAGACGGAUGAUUCUGCUUUUCUACCAUUAUAAUCAGCAUUCUCUGAUAGGAAUCUUCUAGAGAAGGGAGGCUUAGAGCAUGCAUAUGCACACACACACACACACACACACACACACACACACACGAGUUUAUUCUAGAGAAUUGGUUCAUAGAGCCAUGGAGGCUAACAUGCCCCAUAUUCUGCAAUUCUCUGGCUGGAAACCCAGGAGAGAUAAUGGUGUAAUUCUAGUUGGAAGCUAGCAGACCUGAGACCCAGUGUUUCUCUUUGACUCCAAACGGAGAAGAGAAGCCAUUGUGAAGACCACAAGGCAGAAGGAGCACCUUCUUGCUCUUGGAAGUAUCACUCUUCAUUGUCUGUUGAAGACUUCUGGACUGACUGGAGGAGGCCGGUCCUCACUUAGGAGGUCUUUUUCCUUCAAUCACUCUACCAACUUAAAUAUUGAUCUCACCCAGAACAUCUCACAUGCAAAUCCAGAAUCAGUCCACUUAAGCUGACACAUAAACUUGUUGUGUUGGGUAAUUUUAUGUCAACUUGACACAAGCUAGAAUUAUCUGAGAAGCAACCACAAUUGAGGAAAUGCCUCCAUAGAUUGGCCUGUAGGUAAGUCUGUGGGGGCAUUGUCUCAAUUAAUGAUUGACGUAGGAGUGGGCAGCCUACAGGGAUGCUGCUACCCCUGGGCAAGUGAUCCCCAGUCGUAUAAGAAAGUAGGCCAAGAGAGCUGGCUAGCAAACGGAUUAAUGUUCACAUGGCUUUUGCUCCCGUUCCUGCCUCCAAGUUCCUGCCCUGGCUUCCUUCAGUGAUGGACUUAUACACUCUAAGGUGAAAUAAACUCUUUCCUUCUC
ensembl:lincRNA 1700112J16Rik RIKEN cDNA 1700112J16 gene